AUGGGCUGCGGGAACUCCCGGGCAGAGGCCCUGCAGGAGCAGCCAAAGAUGUAACAGAAGAAUCCAUAACAGAAGAUGACAAGAGGAGAAACUAUGGAGGAGUAUAUGUUGGCCUGCCAUCUGAAGCUGUCAAUAUGGUGUCCAGUCAAACAAAGAUGGUUCGGAAAAAUUAGAAGAAAAUAACACCAUGACUCAAGAAUCAAGAGCAUGCUCAUUAAUUUGGAAGGAAUUGGCUCCGUGGGACAUUGUAGUGUGCACAGACAUUUCCAAGGAAAUUCUAAACAGUCACCCUUUCCUCUUGCAUUUCCCCAAAUCUUAAGCAUAUACAUAAAACCCUGGGUACAUAUUGUUGUGGUAAUAGAAGGGAAUUGGUUAAACAGUACACUUUAUGGAACUUUCUGUGGCCCCCUACGAAAGACAAGUUAACAAACUGUCAUGGAGGCUGCUGUUGCCUAGCCAGGGCGGCGCAUUUUGACAUUUCCACCGUGGCCACUCAACACAUUUCAUGGAGGGCAUGUCUUUUCACUGAUGCUUUUUGAUAGUUUUUAUAUAACAAAAUCCUUAUUCUAUUUAUAACUUAAGAUGAUAAGGCACUAUAAAUGAAUGACCUAAAAUAAUA